CUGAGCUGCAGAGAGCUGAGGGCUGACGGGAGCACCGUGCAGAGCAGAGCACGGGCAGCGCUCCAGGCACGGAGCUGGGCACAGCAAGCAGGGCGAGGAGCAGCUCCCCCAGCUGGAAAAUCUCCUCUUUCCUUCCUGCAGGCACGCGGGAAGAGGGUCAGGCCCCACGCUGCAGCCACCUGCAUCACGAGCUCACGGGCACAGUGAUGGCUGCCCUUCAUCCCAUGUGCUCAGCCCCGCGCCUCCGCGGGCAGCGGGAGGAAAGGGUUAAGGAGCUGCCAGCGGGGAUGAGGCGAGGGAAUUCAGCUGCUGACGCAGCACGUUGUUGACCUCAGCAUAUCAGAGCCCGGCGUUCAGAGUGGCCGCUGCUCCAAACGUGAGCGAGGCCUGACAAAAGCAGAAGGGCAGACCCAGAGCCCAGCUGGGCAGGUGUCCUCUUUCGAACUGACAAAGGGAAAGCUGUGCCAGUUCGUGAACCGCUGCUCCACGAGCAAGGUAAGAGAAAGAAAAUCACCACCAUUACAAUCAUUACUGCGAAUCAUGUGCAAUCAGCCCGCUAACAGAAAGCAGACGAUCAUCCUGCAGGCAGCUCCAGCACGGGAGUUGGUGCUGAGCUGCAGGAGCCGCGAACCACACCACGGUUAAAGCGCUCCUAACGAUGCUAUUUAGUGUCGCUUUCACCUUUUUUCUCCCAACCGCUUCUCCUCCCGGGGCAGAUCCUACAGCCGUGCGAAGGAGAUUCGCUCGCGCCUUUCCGAGCACACGCGCGUUGUAUCCCCGCUGCCCGCCCCGUCCCGCUGCCGUCGGUGGGUACGGAGCGGUCCCGGUGCCGUAACGCAGCGCUCGGGGCGGCCCCGCGGCCUCCGCUCGUUUCUCCGUUCUCCCGAACCGAGGGGAAAUCGCACCAAAUCGCGCUCGCGUUUGGUGUUAUUGCGAGCAUUAGCGGUUUGUGCUCGGCUCGUCUCCUCUGGCAACAGGAGAAGCUUGAAAUGUCAAAGGGGAGGGUUAACAAACUCCGCCGGCAUAAAUUGCAAUGCGUGUUCCUUAGGAAAGCCGCUAAGUUAAAAAAAAAUAAAAAAAAUAAAAAAUUAAACCUUCCUGUCUGCGCUUUCUUUCGGCUGCUGUUCACAAUGGAUAAUAAUUCUUACAUUAAGCCCCUUCGGCCCUCCAGGGAAAUCAAAAUUGUAAUAUCAGUUUGCUUUUUAUUGGCUCGGCUCUACGAUCUCG
ensembl:lncRNA